AUUGAACGCUGGCGGCAGGCCUAACACAUGCAAGUCGAACGGUAACAGGAAGAAGCUUGCUUCUUUGCUGACGAGUGGCGGACGGGUGAGUAAUGUCUGGGAAACUGCCUGAUGGAGGGGGAUAACUACUGGAAACGGUAGCUAAUACCUCAUAACGUCGCAAGACCAAAGAGGGGGACCUUCGGGCCUCUUGCCAUCGGAUGUGCCCAGAUGGGAUUAGCUAGUAGGUGGGGUAACGGCUCACCUAGGCGACGAUCCCUAGCUGGUCUGAGAGGAUGACCAGCCACACUGGAACUGAGACACGGUCCAGACUCCUACGGGAGGCAGCAGUGGGGAAUAUUGCACAAUGGGCGCAAGCCUGAUGCAGCCAUGCCGCGUGUAUGAAGAAGGCCUUCGGGUUGUAAAGUACUUUCAGCGGGGAGGAAGGGAGUAAAGUUAAUACCUUUGCUCAUUGACGUUACCCGCAGAAGAAGCACCGGCUAACUCCGUG
rnacentral:rRNA from 1 species